UGGCUAUAUCACAUUGAAACACUAGUUCUCGUAUGAUCACUGAAGUUAAGCAACGUUGAGCCUGGUCAUUAGAUGGGUGACCACUUGGGAUUACCAGGUGCUGUAAG